rnacentral:piRNA from 1 species
UAUUUUCUGAUUAUUAUCAUUUAGUA